rnacentral:rRNA from 1 species
UUUGCCUACGGGGCGCAGCAGUGAGGAAUAUUGGUCAAUGGUCGGGAGACUGAACCAGCCAAGCCGCGUGAGGGAUGAAGGUACAGAGUAUCGUAAACCUCUUUUGUCAGGGAACAAAGGCGGGGACGUGUCCCCGGAUGAGUGUACCUGAAGAAAAAGCAUCGGCUAACUCCGUGCCAGCAGCCGCGGUAAUACGGAGGAUCCGAGCGUUAUCCGGAUUUAUUGGGUUUAAAGGGAGCGUAGAUGGGUUGUUAAGUCAGUUGUGAAAGUUUGCGGCUCAACCGUAAAAUUGCAAUUGAUACUGG